AUCGUACGAAAGUGAUCGGUUACUCUAACCACGAUGAAGAGUAUUGAUGUUCCCUUCUGAGCGCGAAGCGGGCAGCGAGUAAUGAUUAAUUUCAUCCGCUCGUUGUCAUUGAUGACCGUUCCUUGCUCCCUAGUGGAGCCUGGAGGUAGGGAACAUGAUCAGAGUGGUUAGAUAAAUAUCGUACGCAAGUGAUCGGUUACUCUAACCACGAUGAAGAGCGCUGAUGUUCCCUUCAGAGCGCGAAGCGGGCAGCGAGUAAUGAUUAAUUUCAUCUGCUCCUUGUCAUUGAUGACCGUUCCUUGCUCCCUAGUGGAGUUUGGAGGUAGGGAACAUGAUCAGAGUGGUUAGAUCUAGAUUACGGUCAAAAUAAAUCAAAGCUAUACCGUCGUGACGUUUCAUUUGGUAUCUUAGGGACUGAUAGCUUUUUAAUCUAGUAUAAAUAGUUACUUCAUUCUAUGUACACGUGUCGGUAAUGUGAGGUUAACCGUAUGCAGGUUUACAAUAGGUUUUCCAGCCAGAAAGAGACCGUAACCACAUUUUUUGACAAACCAGUUACAGUAUAAUGAAUGCCUAAUUACACACGCGGAAUCUGGAAUGCCUGUACAAUAACAGCACAAUAUAGCAGUAGCUUAUGCAUCUGAAUUGCGUGUGCUAUUUAAUUCCUCGUAGGAUUUAAUACAUAGGUAGCAUUCCGGACACGAUUUAUAUUAUGUCACCCUAUGUUGCACAUUUCAUAAACAAUAUCACUCAUUAUAACGUUCAUACACAACGACGAUAAGGAAACUAACGGAUAAAAAGUAUACCA
ensembl:lncRNA